AUACGGAGGGUGCAAGCGUUGUUCGGAAUCACUGGGCGUAAAGGGCGCGCAGGCGGUUUGGUAAGUCAGAUGUGAAAGCCCAUGGCUCAACCGUGGAAGUGCAUUUGAAACUGCCAGACUUGAGUACCAGAGGGGAAAGUGGAAUUCCCGGUGUAGAGGUGAAAUUCGUAGAUAUCGGGAGGAAUACCGGUGGCGAAGGCGACUUUCUGGCUGGAUACUGACGCUGAGGCGCGAAAGCGUGGGGAGCAAACAGGAUUAGAAACCCUAGUAGUCC
rnacentral:rRNA from 1 species